ACCCCCGAUUCCCUUCCCUCGGGCGGCUAGGCCGCACUAGACCGUAGUCCCCUCGAGCCGCUGCCUCCACGAGAACCCUGGCUAGGGUUGUUCCACUGCCGCCGUCUCCUCCAGCCCGCGGCUCGCCGGUGGCAAGCGCCUGAUCCCUUUCCCACAAGACGCCUCGGACUGAUCCAACAUCUCCACGCGCCGGAGCUCCGCCCAUGGAGAACACCCCCUCCACUCGACCCCAUCCUACGCUUCGGCUCCCGGACAGCUUCGUCCUCUCCGCCGAUAAGCUCCCCCCGGUCUCCACCAUGGUGGCCGUCUCUCUUCCCGUCGUCGACCUCUCCCUGGGCCGUUACUAGGUCUGUCCCGCCGUCUUCGACACCAGCAAGGACCUCGGCUGGGCGAAGACUGCCAGGGCGACGUGCUCCCCGCGCACGGCCAGGUCGACGGCGAAGGCCAGCCCCAUCGUGGCCUUGACCAGCACCAGGGUCGUCCGGGCGGCAGCCGCCGAGGCGUGGGCCGCGGAGGCGGCGUGCAGAAUUGGUUGAUUUUGGAGGUCGAGCCGGAGUUGGGGCCGGGGUCGCCAGAUGCACGGCCGGGCGCACGAAGAACGCGCGCCAGAUGACAUGGGCCUUGCUCCUCACGGGCGUGGCCUUCGCGCUCAGGUGUGGCGGGGAGAGUUUCUCCCGGGAAGAACACGGCCCUGUGUGCGAGCUUCUACGUCUGCAUCCGGGUGUUCCUCCAGCUGUCCAUGCUGCUGCUAGCCGAGUAGCCGUAAAGGUCGCGGCCUACAUCCAGGGGUGGCACAACGCCAUCGUACGGGCUCUUUGCCGCCGCCUACACCUGCUGGAUGUGUGUCCGCCUCGAGUGGCACUGCAGUUUAAUCGUGCCCAAGGGCAUCAAGCCCGUGCCUCAGGCGACAAGGAGGACGUUGAGGCCGGCAGGAGGACUUCCCAUGGUUCUCAUGGGCUGCCCAUGUGCAACGAGCGGGAGGAUCAAGUAAUCAAGUAGAAAGGAGUGUCAAAUUGUGAAAUUAUGUGCAAUGUUGAAUGGGGUGUUCACGUUGACCUAGCUGACCUUGGGGCGGGGAAGAGACCGUCUGGGGACAGAGGAAGUUAAUGUCGCGGCGCUUCGACUCAACAGUGUCCUCGAGCCACGAGUGGUGGUCACUGUCGAUUAGAUGAGCUUCCCCGAUAGGCCAAUUGUUUUAUAAUAAAAGUUUGAGAAGCCAUGCGAAAUUCAGCUUAUAUGGAGGCUUUCCCAGUAGUAGGAUCAUAGGAGAACCUAUUGAGUUAUUUGCCAAAUUAAGUUACUGAUUUUACCUUGGCUUAGAUGUAUGGACUCGUGGUUGAAGCUGAACCAGUCCUAAGAGCUUCCAAAUAAGCUAAUCUUGAUAUGUCUUGCUCUUUCUGACAUUAUACUAUAAAGUUCUUCAAGACAACAGGAAGAGAUGGUUGGACUGCUCUGAUGUACUUCUUGCUGUUACUCUAGCUAAGAUUUUUUUUUCCAAUACAUGGUUAUCUGUAACACAUGCAAGCACUAAAGCUAUGCUUGCUGAUAACAAUUUUUGCACAGAUUAACAAUGUCCAGUGCUUUGCUUGAACAUUCCUAAGGUUUACUUCUUGAGAAAACUUGGAAUCACAGUUGUCGUCAAAAGUGGCUGGAUCAUCUAACAUUGUGGUAGCUAGCCAAGUUGGCACACUGGCUAUCUUUUCAUGUAUAUGACUUUUAUUUUGGGUGGUUUAUUCUUUCAAAACAGUUUUGAUGUGUUUGGUGUAUGAUGUGAGUACAGGCUGCAGAUGUCUCCUUUUAUUUAUUUAUUUUUCAACCCUAAUGUGUAACACUUCUUAUCUUAUAUAAAGGCAGUUCUUGUGGGCUACAAUACUUGAACAUGGUUUAUGCUAUUCAUGCAAAUCAAGAUGAAGAGGGUUGCUCCUUGCUCAGUUAGUAAUGAUUGUUCUUUUAGCAUUUGUUUUAAUGUUGCACGGUAUCAUCAUUGGUUUCUCAUGUCACAUCAUAUUUGUUGGUUCUUUUUGGCUUACCUUCCCUAUUUGUUAUUGAUUUAGGCAGAGGUCUAACUUUGUUAGUGAAAUUGCAUACCCCUUUGUUGUUGUUUGUCAUGGUGUUGACCUAUUAAGAUGCCUCGACUUUUAUAUGUUUGUAGUCAUUAUGUACAUUGUUUUCUUGCAGCUUUGUGUUGUGUGCCGAAGAAGUUGUUAUGUUGGCUUUGGCAAUAUAGGCAGUAUGGGAUGAGCGGAAGUUCAGUUUUUGGGACAGCAGAAUAUUUUGCGUGUUAUUAGAAAGUGAACAAAGUUUCAGUUUUUUCAGUACACACUGAAUAACUGAUGGUGGUUUGUGCAUGUAUUUGCAUCUGUUUUUCUUCAUUAUCAGUUUAAACUUCUUUUGCAGGGAUUGUGCAGAUAAAACUAUACGGAUGCUCCUAACUCUCCUAACUAUGAUAUAUCUCAUAUGUAUGUUGUUUGUAUAAUAUUAAUUUUCACAGAGUGUAUAAGAAUGCAAUGUAUCCAGACUAUCGAUCAGGGCAACUCACUAUUCCUAUACGAAACUGUCCGGCCAGGCCUUCUUCUUGUUGAGAAUAAUUAUUUAUGAUCAAUUAGAUUAAUUAUUAGUUAGUUAAUGAAUAAUUAGGCAGUUGGUUAUGUAACUGUUCGUGUCCCAAAUUUUGAGAUGCGAAGGCAAAAGUUUGAAACACCAAUGCAUGUAUUGAUGCCUCUUCACUUUGUAUAAA